UACGAGUGCCCCGAGCGUUAUCCGGAAUCAUUGGGCGUAAAGGGUGUGUAGGUGGUUGCGUUAGUCUUUCGUUAAAGCCCGGGGCUCAACCUCGGACAGGCGAAGGAAACGGCGCGGCUGGAGGAUGCGAGGGGUGAAUGGAACUCAUGGAGUAGGGGUGAAAUCCGUUGAUAUCAUGGGGAACACCAAAAGCGAAGGCAGUUCACUGGCGCAUUCCUGACACUGAAACACGAAAGCGUGGGUAGCGAAUGGG
rnacentral:rRNA from 1 species